rnacentral:tRNA from 1 species
GGGGCUAGCUCAGCAGUAGAGUGUGUGCUUAGCGUGCAUGAGGUCCUGGGUUCAAUCCCCUGUACCUCCA